rnacentral:lncRNA from 1 species
AAAAGUAUAACGUUGUUAAAUGAAUUAGUUAAGGUUGUAUACAUUGACACGCAAAUAUAUUCAUUUUAUACACAUAAAUAUGUAUGACACACCGAUGAAUAUGUACUAAAAUUAUUAUAGAUGAUACCCUAAGACUUCUUCCUCCUCCUUCUUCUCCUUCAUCUUUUGUACUGGGGAUUGAACCCAUGGGUACUUUACCACCCAGAUACAUCCCCAAUCUAUUAUUUAUUUACUUAUUUAGUUUUGUUGUUGUUUUGCUUUUUUGGUACUGAGAAUUGAACCCAAGGGCUCUCUAUGAUGGAGCUACACCCCCAGCUCAAUUUUAUGUUUUGAGACACGGUCUUGCUAAUUUUCCCAGGCUGGCCUUCAACUUGGGAUCCUCCUGCUUUAGCUUCCAAAGUAGCUGGAUUAUGGGUAUGCACCACUGUGCCUAAGUUUUAGCUCAUUUAAUAGCCUUACUUUGAUACAGGAAUCCCAAAUUACAUAUCAUCACCCAAUUACAAUACUUUUUCAGCUGAAGUACAUGAUGAUUAGUGUGUACUGAUUCAACUACUCGCCAGUACACCUGGACAGAUUUCACAGCUCUUUUACACAGGCAAUUCUAACAUCCUGGCUGAAGUCCAUUCUCUAGAUAGUUUAACUUUAAAAAUUAGUUCCCUUCUAAAGAUCCCAUCUGUGCACCAGAUGGCCCCAUGCCAAUAACUUUCCACUUCAAAUGGGACUCAAUUUAUCUUUGUCAGCAAGCAGAAGUAUUACCUGUUUUCCUGUCCUUCUUAUCCAUGUAGAAAUGAGACACCAAAACCCUUAACCCCAAUAUUCUCAAUAAUAAUAAUAACAAUAAGCAGUUUUAGAACAGAAAGUUAGGGAGACUAGGCUGUUGGGUGCAGAGUGGGGAAAAAAAUUGAAUAUCCACAGAGAGGUCUGGGAGGAAGCAAAAGGAACUCAGAAGAGUCAACAG